GUUUUUCUAAACAAAAAAUAAUGCCCAGUCUGAGAGAAAUUCAUUUAUCAUCCUGGAAUAAAGCUCAGCAAACUAUGAAAUUAGAACCGAUUUCUCAUAUUCCAUGCCUACUAAAACAAAAAUAAUAGAUUGAAGAGGAUGCAAUAUAUACUUAAGGGUAAUAAAUAGUCUUGACGUCAGAAGGCUAAGAGUUUAGUCUAAACUAAACUUUGUCUUUUGAAGCUGUGUGACUUUAUGUAAAUCAUUAACCACUCUGACAUUCAAAUUUCCAUCCAUGCAAAGCAUAUAUUUUGAGAAUCUGUUAUCUGCCACUUUGAUAUAAAAAGGCAUUUAGCAAAAACGCUGAUACAAAGUGUUUAUAGGUACAGAAUGAAUUAUAACUGAUAGUCAUUACUAACUUUUAAUCUCUGACAUUUAAAGGACAUUUUCUUGCCAAUCAGAGAAUGGAAAGAUAACAGGAGAAACAGAGUAUCUGAUUCAUGCUUCUAAUAGAAAGCAGCAGAUAAGAACCUGCCUAAUAAUACAAUUUCAUUCUAGUCUUACCUAAUUCAGUCAUUUGGAGGCCAUUCAUCUUUUCCCAGUGGAAAAAGAUCAACCUGACAACAAAAAGACAGAGGCAACGUAUUUCUUACUUAGUGUUGUUAAUAAAUAAGGAAAAGGUAGAGAAGAUACUGUGCAAUUGGUGAAGAAAAAAGAAGACUUAGAUAUAAAGACUCAAAUUUCCAUCACAAUGCUAAGAAAGAAAAAGAUAAGAAGUCUGUCACUAAAAAUAUUUUAAACACACAGAAUCUCCCUGUCUUAUAACUAAAUUCACAGACAGGUACAGUUUCUGAUCAAAAAUUUCUCAUGCUGAGAGUUUUUCUCAGAGCAAUUUUAACAUCUUUGUUCCUCAAACUAUAAAUUAAGGGAUUCAUCAAGGGAACUGUAUUGGUGUAAAAGACAGAAGAGACUUUUCCCUCAUCCAUAGACACAGCAGAAGAUGGUUUGAGAUACAUAAAUGCAGCUGAUCCAAAGAAGAGAGAAACAGCAAUAAUGUGGGAACUGCAGGUACCGAAUGCUUUGGACCUGCCCUCUGUGGAACUGAUGUGAAGGAUGCUGGAGAGGAUGAAACCAUAAGAGACAAAAAUGGUGACACUGGGCACAAUGACAUUGAUGCCCACCACAAUGAAAACUUCCAGCUCAUUGACGUAGGUGCUCGUGCACGAGAGCUGGAGCAGAGGGAAGAUGUCACAGAAAUAAUGGUUGAUGGUAUUUGCAUCACAGAACGUCAGUGUCAGCAUACAUCCAAUGUGGGCCAUGGCACCAGAAAAUGCCAUCAAGUAUGAACCAAGCAUAAGGCUGGAACACACUUUAUGGGACAUGACAACGCUAUACAAAAGUGGUUUACGGAUGGCCACAUAGCGAUCAUAGGCCAUUGAUGUCAGCACAUAGCAUUCAGAAAUACCAAAAAAGCAGAAAAAGUAAAGCUGUGUCAUGCACCCCAUGUAGGAGAUAAUAUUCUCCUUAGAUAUGAAGUUAACUAGCAUUUUGGGUGUAAAAACAGAUGA
ensembl:lncRNA